rnacentral:tRNA from 1 species
CCGACCUUAGCUCAGUUGGUAGAGCGGAGGACUGUAGUUUGAUUAAUCUAAAUAGGAAAUCCUUAGGUCGCUGGUUCAAAUCCGGCAGGUCGGA